rnacentral:rRNA from 1 species
AUGGCCUACCGCGGAGGCGGAGGCCGGGGCGCGCCGGCGGGAGGAGGGCGUGGGGCCACGCGCUGGCCGCCUCCGCGCGCGUCUUCAGCGCCUCGCCCCGCCGCGACGGCGCCCGUGGUGGCCGACAACGCCACGGGGCCGCACCAGGGCGCCUACCAGCACGGCGUCGUCGUCCGCAACCCCGCGCCGGCGCCCUACGCCACCGUCCGCGCGCCUUCCCCGACGCCGGUCACCAUCCGCGCGCCCUCGCCCACGCCGGCCACCAUCCGCGCUCCUGCUCCGACGCCUUCGCCGGCCGCGGCCCGCGUCUCCGCCCCCGCUCCCGCUCCGCCGACCCCCGCGGCCGUCGCCAACGAGCUGGAGCACAAGAUCUUCAACACCGAGACCGUGCUGGCGCGUCCCGCCGCCGCGGCCGCGGCGACGCAGGAGGAGCAGGCCGAGGCGGACCUCGCGCCGGUGUCAGGUCUCACCCACCCCGCGCGUCCCGGCGCCGGCACCAUCGGCAAGAAGGUGAUGAUCCGCGCCAACCACUUCCUCGUUAACGUCGCCGACAACAACCUCUUCCACUACGAUGUGAGCACGAACCCUAGCCCCCUCCUUCUCUCUCUGUUUACGUUCUUCUAUGCGCUUCGUCUUCUCCAGAUCCGGCGUUCUGUAUCGUACGUCGUUUUUCUCUUGUCCGCGCUAUCUUACUCAUACAUCUGUUUUCUCUCGCUCUGCUUUUCGUUUUUCUCCAUGCGACGUGCGUCUCCGACCAGCUCAUCCCGUCCAUGGGUGUUUGGUCCAGCACUGUCGCUACACGUGCACCCCGGUAUUCCUCUGUUUUGCGUUUGA